CAGGUGUAGUUUAGUGGCAAAACAUCAGCUUCCCAAGCUGUGGUUGCGGGUUCGAUUCCCGCCACUUG
rnacentral:tRNA from 2 species